rnacentral:rRNA from 1 species
GACGAACGCUGGCGGCGUGCUUAACACAUGCAGGUCGAACGGAAAGGCCCUGCUUUUGUGGGGUGCUCGAGUGGCGAACGGGUGAGUAACACGUGAGUAACCUGCCCUUGACUUUGGGAUAACUUCAGGAAACUGGGGCUAAUACCGGAUAGGAGCUCCUGCUGCAUGGUGGGGGUUGGAAAGUUUCGGCGGUUGGGGAUGGACUCGCGGCUUAUCAGCUUGUUGGUGGGGUAGUGGCUUACCAAGGCUUUGACGGGUAGCCGGCCUGAGAGGGUGACCGGCCACAUUGGGACUGAGAUACGGCCCAGACUCCUACGGGAGGCAGCAGUGGGGAAUAUUGCACAAUGGGCGGAAGCCUGAUGCAGCAACGCCGCGUGCGGGAUGACGGCCUUCGGGUUGUAAACCGCUUUCGACUGUGACGAAGCGUGAGUGACGGUAAUGGGUAAAGAAGCACCGGCUAACUACGG